UACAGAGGGUGCAAGCGUUAUUCGGAAUUAUUGGCAUAAAGCGCAUGUAGGUGGUUUGAUAAGUCUGAUGUGAAAUCCCCGGACUCAAUUCGGGAAGUGCAUUGGAUACUGUCAGGCUAGAGUAUGGGAGAGGUGAGCGGAAUUCCAGGUGUAGAGGUGAAAUUCGUAGAUAUCUGGAGGAACAACAGAGGCGAAGGCGGCUCACUGGACCAUUACUGACACUGAGAUGCGAAAGCGUGGGGAGCGAACAGG
rnacentral:rRNA from 1 species